AGAGUUUGAUCAUGGCUCAGAUUGAACGCUGGCGGCAUGCCUAACACAUGCAAGUCGAACGUGAAAGAGGGGCAACUCUCGAGUAAAGUGGCGGACGGGUGAAUAAUACGUAGGAAUCUACCCUAGAGUGGGGGAUAACCUGCCGAAAGGUGGGCUAAUACCGCAUAAUCUCUAUGGAGAAAAGGUGUCCCGUACUUGUACGGGGUUUCGCUUUAGGAUGAGCCUACGUCGGAUUAGCUAGUUGGUAGGGUAAUGGCCUACCAAGGCAACAAUCCGUAGCUGGUCUGAGAGGACGAUCAGCCACACUGGAACUGAGACACGGUCCAGACUCCUACGGGAGGCAGCAGUGGGGAAUAUUGGACAAUGGGGGAAACCCUGAUCCAGCAAUGCCGCGUGUGCGAUGAAGGCCUGCGGGUUGUAAAGCACUUUCGGUGGGGAAGAAAUGCUCAAAUAUAAUACAUUUGAGAGCUGACAUUACCCACAGAAGAAGCACCGGCAAACUCUGUGCCAGCAGCCGCGGUAAUACAGAGGGUGCAAGCGUUAGUCGGAGUUACUGGGCGUAAAGGGCGUGUAGGCUGGUAUCUUAGUCGAUUGUGAAAUCCCUGGGCUUAACCUAGGAAUUGCGGUCGAUACUGGAUGCCUUGAGUAUGGUAGAGGAAAGUGGAAUUCUCGGUGUAGUGGUUAAAUACGUAGAUAUCGAGAAGAACAUCGGUGGCGAAGGCGACUUUCUGGGCCAAUACUGACGCUGAGGCGCGAAAGCGUGGGGAGCAAACAGGAUUAGAUACCCUGGUAGUCC
rnacentral:rRNA from 1 species